GAUGAACGCUGACAGAAUGCUUAACACAUGCAAGUCAACUUGAACUUCGGUUUGGGUGGCGGACGGGUGAGUAACGCGUAAAGAACUUGCCUCACAGUUAGGGACAACAUUUGGAAACGAAUGCUAAUACCUGAUAUUAUGAUUUUAGGGCAUCCUAGAAUUAUGAAAGCUAUAUGCGCUGUGAGAGGGCUUUGCGUCCCAUUAGCUAGUUGGAGAGGUAACGGCUCACCAAGGCGAUGAUGGGUAGCCGGCCUGAGAGGGUGAACGGCCACAAGGGGACUGAGACACGGCCCUUACUCCUACGGGAGGCAGCAGUGGGGAAUAUUGGACAAUGGACCAAGAGUCUGAUCCAGCAAUUCUGUGUGCACGAUGAAGUUUUUCGGAAUGUAAAGUGCUUUCAGUUGGGAAGAAAAAAAUGACGGUACCAACAGAAGAAGUGACGGCUAAAUACGUG
rnacentral:rRNA from 1 species